AACACAGACGUCUGUAAGUCGCUUCGGAUAAAAGUGUCUGCUAAAUGGCAUAUA
rfam:Salmo salar isolate Sally breed double haploid chromosome ssa26, whole genome shotgun sequence.